UGGGCAAGAAUCUGGAGUAAAUCCU
rnacentral:misc_RNA from 1 species